rnacentral:tRNA from 1 species
UGAGGAUGUAGCUCAGUCGGAAAGAGCGCUUGUUUCCGAGGCAAGUGGUCACAGGUUCGAUUCCUGUCGUCCUCGU